rnacentral:rRNA from 1 species
UACAGAGGUCUCAAGCGUUGUUCGGAUUCAUUGGGCGUAAAGGGUGCGUAGGCGGCGCGGUAAGUCGGGUGUGAAAUCUUGGAGCCUAACUCCGAAACUGCAUUCGAUACUGCCGUGCUUGAGGACUGGAGAGGAGACUGGAAUUUACGGUGUAGCGGUGAAAUGCGUAGAUAUCGUAAGGAAGACCAGUGGCGAAGGCGGGUCUCUGGACAGUUCCUGACGCUGAGGCACGAAGGCCAGGGGAGCAAACGGG